rnacentral:rRNA from 1 species
AUUGAACGCUGGCGGCAUGCUUUACACAUGCAAGUCGAACGGCAGCGGGGAGGAGCUUGCUUCUCUGCCGGCGAGUGGCGAACGGGUGAGUAAUACAUCGGAACGUGUCGAGAAGAGGGGGAUAACCACCCGAAAGGGUGGCUAAUACCGCAUAAAUUCUGAGGAAGAAAGCUGGGGACCUGGGAAUAGGCCUAGCGCUUUUUGAGCGGCCGAUGUCGGAUUAGCUAGUUGGUGAGGUAAAGGCUCACCAAGGCGAAGAUCUGUAGCGGGUCUGAGAGGAUGAUCCGCCACCCGGGGACUGAACCACGGCCCAGACACCCACGGGAGGCAGCAGGGGGGAAUUUUGGAAAAGGGGGGAAACCCUGACCCAGCCAUGCCGGGUGUAUGAAGAAGGCCUUAGGGUUGUAAAGUUCUUUUGUUAGGGAAAAAAAUUCGGCUGUGAAAAAUGGCUGAUACGGACGGGACCUAAAAAAUAAGCACCGGCUAACUACGG